AAAAGUUGAAGAAGAAGGAAGGAGAAGGAGAAGGAGAAGAA
rnacentral:sRNA from 1 species